UACAGAGGUCUCAAGCGUUGUUCGGAUUCAUUGGGCGUAAAGGGUGCGUAGGCGGCGCGGUAAGUCGGGUGUGAAAUCUCGGAGCUUAACUCCGAAACUGCAUUCGAUACUGCCGUGCUUGAGGACUGGAGAGGAGACUGGAAUUUACGGUGUAGCAGUGAAAUGCGUAGAGAUCGUAAGGAAGACCAGUGGCGAAGGCGGGUCUCUGGACAGUUCCUGACACUGAGGCACGAAGACCAGGGGAGCAAACGGG
rnacentral:rRNA from 1 species